rnacentral:tRNA from 1 species
GGCGGUGUAGCUCAGUUGGCUAGAGCAUUCGGUUCAUACCCGAAGUGUCGAUGGUUCAAAUCCAUUCGCCGCUACCA